UAUGCCUCUUGGCUGAAGAAUUGUGCUAAUUAGCAGGUGACUGGAACAAAAUAUUGGAGAGGAUUUUUGCUUUCUGAACCUGGAUUUUCCACCUUUGUAUUUUAGAUAUGACUAUAGGCCUGUGGUUAAACCAGUGCUCUCUGACCCUGUUCCUGGAGAGCUACCAUCCUGUAGGUUUACAUUUCAUCACUAAUUUGGCACAAGUAAUUUGACUAGGCAAUGAGAUCUUUCGCUGUUGAAUGAGGUGUUUUUUAUGGUGAAAAUCGACAGGAGGGUAGAUCUCCAGGGACAUGGUUGACCAUCCUAGGGGUGCAUUAAGCAUUAAGGCCGUUUAUCAGGAUUUUUACAUUGUUUGGUCGAAAUAGUAUAGUCAAUAUAUAAGACUACAUAAUAGUAAGGCAUUUAAUGUCAGCUUAGUCUAAUAGGCUACAUUUACGCUGCACAACGUGCCCUAAACAAAACUUCAGCAGCCAAAGAGCCUGCUAGCCUCGCGUUUCGCCUAAUAUAGGACAAUCCCUUAGCCACUUCACAGUAAUUGUUAUUUCGAGCAUUCGGAUUUGGAAUCCAUGUAACAGCUACAGAAAAUCAACUGGGCCGACAACCAGUUAAGUCCACCUGAAACUUACACAGCCUGUUUCGUUUUUCCUCAUUUAGGGAACAGCUCAGAUUGAUGACGAUUUGGUCGAACAAAAGGCCCUACCUGUUUUACAAUAAGGCAUUAUGGUCUCAGAAGAAUUAAUCGGACUAUCGAAAGUAAUUGUACUCGUUCCACCACCCCUUUCCGAAAUUGAAACAAGCUUGUGGAGGCCGAUUUGUCUGCUUGCUGCCAAUGAGCGGCCCCUUUCUACCAGCAUAAUAUGAAUACAGUCGCGUACAACAUAUAAUUUGGCGGCAGUUGAAUAGAGAGCAUUGGAUUUUGGACGUGGCUGUAAACUCUGGUGAUCUACCAAUGACUGGAACAAUCAUGAAAAGCAACAACAUGACCUUGUUAUGGAGGAUCUUUUCCACGUUUACCUUUGAUUGUUUGAGGCGAGCGUCCUAUUCCGCACAGAGGUCACCUCAAAAGCCCUACACUGCACGUUCUGCCAGCUUUGAGAGCGCCUCACUCGGUUCUUCUCAGGGUGCAGAAUCUGUCCACUGCCAGUGGUGCAUUUCCUUCGAUGUGCACCUCAAGCGUCUGUCCUGCGGCCAUUUCUACUGCGAAACCUGCGCUGACCAUAUCGUCAACCUGGCUUUUGAGGACAUCGAGGGCCUCUCUGACUACCCCUGCCCCAUGUGCAAGUCCAUCCACCAGUUGGGCAGCCUCACCACCCCAUUUGGCCUGGGAACGCCCCUAGUCACCCCUGUGGAGAUCCUGAAACGGCAGGUUAUAAGGGAGGAGGGGUAUGGGCACUAAUGUCAUUGGGCACUGUGGUGCAUCUUUAUAAACUGCCAGCCAUUUGGCGGCUAAAGGAUGAAGAUUUGGAAACUGGGCUGUGACUGGCUACAAAUGUCCUGUUCAUUCUUUAAGCCAGAAGUCUCUGAUACCAAAGCAUUGACUUCUAUAAGAUGGAGAUGGAAAAUAGUCUCUCAAUUUCUAGAAUUAAGGAAACCAUUUUAAAUCUGGGGGAUUUGCAGCAGGUGGAAGUACCAUAUUUGAAUCCCCAUUGCUUUGAAAUGUAGAGGGUUCUGCAAUCAGUCAGGUAAAUUCUGACAAAGAUUUUGGUUUGAUUAGAUGGUGUGAACAAAAACUACACUUCUACAGUGUGUUCAUAUAGGCUAGUUAUGAACAAUACCAGGCCCCAACAGGUCUAUUUUUUUGAAAGUAUGUUGGUAACCAGCGCAGUAUCUGAUUGAGGUCAGAUUCUCCAAAUAUAAAGUGUUUUAAAUUACUAAUAUCGCAGAAAACUGACCAUUUAUCAAUGUUUCUGUUUUUGGUGAUUAUAUUUAAAGGUUACUGUAUAUACAGAUUAUUUUUAAACUAUUUUAAGCUAUGUAUAGUAUUAUAUUGUCUUGUAGAAAGCAAUGAUCAAACUUCUUUAUUCAGAAUAAAAGAUCACAUUGUAAAUAUGUUUAUUUUAAUAACAAGAAUAAAACAUGCCUCAGAAGUGA